GGGGCAGCAGUCUGAGGGGCAGCAGUCUGCUUAACACACCUCAGACAGGGGCAACAGUCUGAGAGGCAGCAGUCUGAGGACAAGCAGUCUGAGGGGCAGGGGUCUGAGGGGCAGCAGUCUGAGGGGAAGCAGUCUGAGGGGCAGCGGUCUGAGGGGCAGCAGUCUGAGGGGCAGCGGUCUGAGGGGCAGCAGUCUGAGGGGCAGCGGUCUGAGGGGCAGCAGUCUGAGGGGCAGCAGUCUGAGGGGCAGCGGUCUGAGGGGCAGCGGUCUGAGGGGCAGCGGUCUGAGGGGCAGCGGUCUGAGGGGCAGCGGUCUGAGGGGCAGCGGUCUGAGGGGCAGCAGUCUGAGGGGCAGCGGUCUGAGGGGCAGCGGUCUGAGGGGCAGCGGUCUGAGGGGCAGCGGUCUGAGGGGCAGCGGUCUGAGGGGCAGCAGUCUAAGGGGCAGCAGUCUGAGGGGCAGCAGUCUGAGCUCCACAUUGACAGUAUGAGAUGUUUAGUGAGAAUCAAGCACUUGAAAAUCAAGCACCCUUACAUACUGACAGUGUUUUCUGCAGGGUAUCGAUUUUCAAUCAGUGUGAAAGUAAACUGUAUUAAAGAAGUCUAUCACAGAUACUGUAUAUACACUGCCCUAUGUAAUUAUUGGGAAAGCGACAAUUUUGUUGUUGUUUUGGCUCUGUACUCCAGCAUUUUGUAUGUGAAAUGAUACAAUGACUAUGAGGUUAAAGUGCAGACUGCCGCUUUAAUUUGAGGGCAUUUUAAUCCAUACCAGGUGAACCGUUUAGAAAUUACAGUGCUUUUUGUACAUAGUCCCCCCAUUUUAGGGGACCAAAAGUAUAUAUUCACUUAUAUGCAUUAAUGUUGUCAAAAGUUUAGUAUUUGGUCCCAUACUCCUUGCACGCAUCAAGCUUGUGACUCUACAAACUUGCUGGCUGCAUUAGCUGUUUGUGCCCAGUAGAAAUGAAUGUUAAAUAAUGUAUUGUGUAAUUUUGGAGUUACUAAGAAGAGAAUGUUUCUGAACACUUCUACAUUCAUGUGGAUGCUAACAUGAUUACAGGUAGUCCUGUAUGAAUCGUGAAUAAUGAUGAGUGACGCACAAAUAUCAUACCCCCAAGACAUGCUAACCUCUCACUAUUACAAUAACAGAGGAGGUUAGCAUUUUAUAUCAUACCCCCAAGACAUGCUAACCUCUCACUAUUACAAUAACAGAGGAGGUUAGCAUUUUAUAUCAUACACCCAAGACAUGCUAACCUCUCACUAUUACAAUAACAGAGGAGGUUAGCAUUUUAUAUCAUACACCCAAGACAUGCUAACCUCUCACUAUAACAAUAACAGAGGAGGUUAGCAUUUUAUACCAUACACCCAAGACAUGCUAACCUCUCACUAUUACAAUAACAGAGGAGGUUAGCAUUUUAUAUCAUACACCCAAGACAUGCUAACCUCUCACUAUUACAAUAACAGAGGAGGUUAGCAUUUUAUAUCAUACACCCAAGACAUGCUAACCUCUCACUAUAACAAUAACAGAGGAGGUUAGCAUUUUAUACCAUACACCCAAGACAUGCUAACCUCUCACUAUAACAAUAACAGAGGAGGUUAGCAUUUUAUAUCAUACACCCAAGACAUGCUAACCUCUCACUAUUACAAUAACAGAGGAGGUUAGCAUUUUAUAUCAUACCCCCAAGACAUGCUAACCUCUCACUAUUACAAUAACAGAGGAGGUUAGCAUUUUAUUUCUAUUGAUUUUUUAAGUCACAAGCUUGAUGUACUUAUUGCUUGUUAGGAAUAUGGUACCAAAUAAUAACUUUUGACUACUUUAAUACACAUAUAAGUUCAUUUGUCCCAAUACUUUUGGUCCCCUAUAUGUCAUUUCUAUAUGGAUGAAAAUACUCUCAGAUUAAAGCUAGCAGUCUGCACUUACUUCAUAGUCAAUGUAUCAUUUCACAUCCAAAGUUCUGGAGUACAGAGCCCCAAAAAAUGACUUUAUAUUACAUUACAGGUGUUCUAUGCUAAACCAAUUUAAUGCAACCUCUCUGAUUGUCACUUUCACAAUGUGUUCUCAGUUUGAAAUCUUCUAGCUUCUUCUGAGCCGAAGUCUGUCAGCCGGUCGGUCGGUGGAUCUGGGCAGGCAAGGUGAAUGAAAGUAUCAGCAACACUUUGCCUUUUUACUAUUCUCGUUAUCGGGGGGUCAUGUCAAUCGCUUGUUCGCCAAGGCAUUGCCCUUGUUCUUAACAAUGUCUCAGCAAAGGGAAAAACACUCAUGAAAACUUUGUGACGGACAGUCCCCUCCCACACAGACGGGUCUGUGUCACCUCGCCUCGAAACUAAGUGUUUUUCCAUUCAAAUAAUAAAAAAUAAAAAAAGGCUAGAUAGAAGGAGAGUAAUGGUGCUAAUAACAGGUUUGAACACGAUGCUUUGUGAACAGACAUUUGACCCCUAGGUACUGUAGGGUGGCAGGUAGCCUAGCAGUUAGAGCGUUGAGCCAGGACCUGAAAGGUUCGAAAGUCGCUGGUUCGAAUACCCGAGCCGUUAAGGUGAAAAAUCUGUCAGUGGGCCCUUAAUCCUAAUUCUCUCCAGGGGCGCUGUACUACUAUGGUUGACCCUGUAAAACACAUUUCACUGCACCUACUUGGUGUAUGUGAACAUAUUUAUUUAUUUGACUGUACUCUGUACCCCUUCUGUUCCCCUUUCUUUUCUCCAUGUACUGUAUGUGUUGGAGCGCAGGGAAAAAUGAUUGAAAGUAUUUUAAAGCUCAGAUACGGGUAUCUUUUUCAGCACACUCUUUCACUUUAGUUUUUGAACUGUGUUUUUGUCCAUUUGUUAGUUUUUUUCUUUGUAAAUGUUAUAGCUAUAAAAAAUAUAUAUUUUUUAAAUUGUGUGUCUGUUAUAUAAUGUUUGCUAGAAAUAAUAAUAUUAAAAAAGCUUUAUAGAUUUAUACUGAAUGAGGUGAAUUUCUUCCCAUAUAAGAUGUUGAUUUGCUUCAUGUCAUUGGAAAGAGAGAAUAUCCAAUUCUCCCAUAUUAUGGUAUAUCAUUAUAAUUCCAUCUUUCCUCCAGACCCAUCGUAAUCAAAACAUUGCCAUUAUGGGAGCAGUCAAGCAGGGGGUUGAAACCAAAAUCCUUUUCCAAUUGUUUCGUUCUGAACAGAACCAUUAUUUUUUCUGAACAGAACCUUUAUAGAUCACUUUCGUUC